ACAUGAGCAAUGAAGAAGAAGAGUAGCAAUGAAUAAUGCUUUAGAGAGCCGGCGGUUGGUGCAAGCUGGUGCAGGACACAUUGUGAAUGGGCUUCUGAGCUUCCGGACCGAACAAGAAGUUAAGUAGGCUCUGGCGUACGUCUUACGUUACAGAAGACAGGCAGAAAUUCUGCUGUUAAAGUGGAUCGCAUACGUGCGGUCAAUAAAGGUGGUACCACGGCUCCCCGUCCUUUUG
rnacentral:ncRNA from 1 species